rnacentral:lncRNA from 1 species
GUAAAUAAUUUCUGUGUUAGAACCUCAGAGGCUCUUCUGAGUAAAAUCCACAUUCUUUAGUGUUAUGAAAUUGUAGCAUUAAUUUUGUCUUUCCAGAAAGUUUUUCUUAACUUAUUGGUUCUUGACUGUGUUCUAGAUGGCUGAGAUUGCCAGAAGUCUGACCUCCAGAUAAAUGAGGUGUUGUCACACAUUGAGUGCAUAAAUAAAGGGAAGAAGCUUGGAGGGAAAAGUCACAGAGCCAUCAAAAGUUUACCCAAUUUAUUCAUCCCUCCACACUCAGAAUAGAAAAGGUAAUGUAAUAAUAAUGUAGCUUUUGCUUUUGUCUGCAAUUCUACAAAUUUAUAUUUUUCAGUUUCAUGUCAUUGAAAAACUGACUCAACUAAUAUUCUGUUAAUGAGUACAUAAUUUGCUACAUUAUUUGCUACAUAUAAAAUGCU